CCUACGGGAGGCAGCAGUGGGGAAUAUUGCGCAAUGGGCGAAAGCCUGACCCAGCGACGCCGCGUGAGGGAUGACGGUCCUCCGAUCGUAAACCUCUGUCAGCAGGGAAGAACGGUCACUGUGCUAAUCAGCAGUGAAUUGACGGUACCUGCAAAGGAAGCACCGGCUAACUCCGUGCCAGCAGCCGCGGUAAUACGGAGGGUGCGAGCGUUAAUCGGAAUUACUGGGCGUAAAGCGCUCGUAGGCGGUAUGUCAAGUCAAGGGUGAAAUCCCCGCGCUCAACGUGGGAACUGCCGUUGAAACUGGCAAACUGGAGUGUGUGAGAGGAUAGUGGAAUUCCAGGUGUAGGAGUGAAAUCCGUAGAUAUCUGGAGGAACAUCAGUGGCGAAGGCGACUAUCUGGCACAUAACUGACGCUGAGGAGCGAAAGCGUGGGUAGCAAACAGGAUUAGAUACCCCUGUAGUC
rnacentral:rRNA from 1 species